rnacentral:rRNA from 1 species
UAACCUGCCCAAGAGAUCGGGAUAACAUCUGGAAACAGAUGCUAAUACCGGAUAACAACAGAUGAUGCCUAUCAACUGUUUAAAAGAUGGUUCUGCUAUCACUCUUGGAUGGACCUGCGGUGCAUUAGCUAGUUGGUAGGGUAACGGCCUACCAAGGCGAUGAUGCAUAGCCGAGUUGAGAGACUGAUCGGCCACAUUGGGACUGAGACACGGCCCAAACUCCUACGGGAGGCAGCAGUA